AACAUUGCCUCAUACUUAUGCUGAAACAAAUUAUGUUCCAAGGCCAACAAUUACACAAGUAUACAGAGAGAGGCCACAACACUUACCCAAAGGUACCCAUUACUCUAGUAGUUAUAAGCUUUUAUCAGCGCCAAGCAGAUUCGCAAAGGAGAGGGUCAGAGAUCUUUGAAUUGAAUUUGUCAUCAAUCAGAAUAUUGCUAGACUUUAUGUCUCUAUGCACCACUUUUGGCUCAAGCUCGUGUAAGUAAGCAAGCCUGCAUCACACCACACCACCCAAUCACCUCAGAUGAAGAGAAGAUAAAACAAAAAAAUAAAUAAAUCUGUCACAAGGACUUGCGCCUUGGCUGUUCCUAUAAGAAUCAAGUGAUUAAACGAGCCUGAUCUGCUGCUAUCAUCAUUCUCUGACUCUACUACUACUACUGCUGCUACCCCUUUCGCAGGGUCUUUAUCAACAAACUUCUCACUAAUAGAGGGAUAUCCAUUGGCCUCUCGGUUGGUUGAUGAAACCUCGUCGACUCUAAUCUCUUUGAUCUCUUCCUAAACCUCUGCUUUAUCCACCUGAAAAGGACAAAGAACCAAAGAGUUUAGAACUCAAGAACACUCAACAAUCUUUUGUAAACAAAGAAGAGGCAAUCUGAGUAACCAAAGCCGAGAGAAACUCAAAAGCUUAUACCAAAAGAUGGAGCCAUAUCCGAUUAUAAAGUUCAAAUUGGAAAGGAACAAGUAAAAAAGACAAGAACUUGAACAGAGACUAAAGGAGAAAUCAGAUUCAUACAAACAAGUAUUGUGUCUAAAUCCCAGAGUUUCAGUUCUCAGACCACUCGCGAGGUAAACGUUAAGCUGGAAAGAAAACUAACCAUAUAUCUAACACCAAUUCAGAUCGGAAUCAGGUUCGGGAUGGCCUUGUGGAUUCAUCAUGGGGAGAGAGACAGAGAGGAAGAGAUGCAGACGAAGAGAGGAAGAGAAGAGACGAGACUUCCAAUUUUUUUUCAUAGCGACACGUGUCCUAAGACACGGCUCUUCCACGCCCUAAUUAAGAGACGUCUCCUGUGGUAAUUAUAUAUAUAUAUAUAUUUUAAAUCACAAUUACAUUAAGAAACCUAUGUAAGAGACAUGGUUAAUCCUGCUCUAAGAAUCGUCUCUUAAGUACACGUGUUGUUGAGACUUGGCUUUUCCUUCUUCCUCUUUUGAUUCUCCUCUUGGAUCAAUCUCCGGCGGAGAAGGAAAAACAGAAAUCAAAAGAGGAAGGAAUAGUGUGGAGGGAUGGCGAGGAGGAAGAUAAACAAGGAAGAAGUUGUAGAGAAGCUUAAAGACGACGGCGAUUUCGACCUUCUCCGUCUCAACAUCAUACGCCGCCUCAAAGAUAACGAGGAGUUACGAAACAAGAUGAUAUCUCUUGUCAAGGAGUCAGCAGCUUUGAAUCGACCGAGUGCUCAAACUAUGAAACCCAGGCAACUCUCUGAUGCGAUAUUCGAAGAUGUCGGGAGCAAGAUGUUGAGCCAGCUCUCGGAUGGGUUGUGGGGGCUAAUAAGAUCAGAAGACGGGAUGAAGGGCGAGAUCAGAGAAACCGUGCAAUCCGUCUAUGCUACAUUAUCCACUAGAGAAGCGGGACGUAAUAUGCCAGCACCGGUCUCUAAAGGCUGGUGUCACUGACGGAUGCGAUCGAACUAUUGGAAAUCUGUUGUACACGGUCGCUACUAAGCACCAUUCAAAUCUUCUUCUGCAUCGUCCUACAUUGUUCAAUUACAUUGUUUCCUCCAAGAAUAUUUAAGUUUCAAAGGCCUCCUCGACCAAUUCCAUGGUCAAUGCUCGGAUUAGAAGUCUACACAGGAGCCAUUGAUAACUUUGGUUUUGAGGAUUACUUGAAUGGUAAUUGUCCUUUAUUCUCCUAUUGCAUUCCAUGUUUCUCAAUGUUUAACUUUUUUUUUUUUUAAGAACCCCUAAAUAAAAGAUUCCCAUUAGAGCACUAAAAUAUUAGUGUCUCUUAACUAAAUCUCUUAGGCCAUGAUUAUCGCGGUAGUUAAUGGGGUUUCUUAAAACAAAUUAGUGCGUGGGCCCCAGCAAAAUUUUUGAAACCGGUGGCAGAAACAACAAAAUAAAAAUCGAUUGUGUAGGGUUUUUUGCACUGUUCGCAGACCCCAUCGACACGUGGCGGUCCGCGAUUUGUUCGCUUUAAAAUUUUUUUUUUAGAAAAAAAAUAAUUGCCUAAAAAACCGUGAACGGUUUCAGAGUUAAUUAUGCUCUUAAGGGACAUUUAAUAGUUAAAAAUGUGGGAGAUGAAUUUGUAUAGAGUUUCUGAAUUUUGAGAGUUGAUAGAUUUAAAAAAGUUACGUGGAUUGUGAAAAUUUAUAUACAUUGACUUAUGAAAUUCGAUCAUAACUUUUCUUAGAUUGAUAUAAAUUUUCAUGAAUGUGUAUUACAUCUUUUCUAUCAUUUUUUGUAAAAUAAAUAUAGAAUAUAUUUAUUUUCUAAAUCAUAUAGCAUGAUUAUUUAUUUUUUGCUUUCAAAUUAAAAAGAAAAUAAUACUGAUACAUACAAAAUUGAACAAUUUUCUUAAAUAGUCAUUUUAUAAGAUUUUGUCACAAAAA